rnacentral:rRNA from 3 species
AAAUUGAAGAGUUUGAUCAUGGCUCAGAUUGAACGCUGGCGGCAGGCCUAACACAUGCAAGUCGAACGGUAACAGGAAGCAGCUUGCUGCUUUGCUGACGAGUGGCGGACGGGUGAGUAAUGUCUGGGAAACUGCCUGAUGGAGGGGGAUAACUACUGGAAACGGUAGCUAAUACCGCAUAAUGUCGCAAGACCAAAGAGGGGGACCUUCGGGCCUCUUGCCAUCGGAUGUGCCCAGAUGGGAUUAGCUAGUAGGUGGGGUAACGGCUCACCUAGGCGACGAUCCCUAGCUGGUCUGAGAGGAUGACCAGCCACACUGGAACUGAGACACGGUCCAGACUCCUACGGGAGGCAGCAGUGGGGAAUAUUGCACAAUGGGCGCAAGCCUGAUGCAGCCAUGCCGCGUGUAUGAAGAAGGCCUUCGGGUUGUAAAGUACUUUCAGCGGGGAGGAAGGCGAUAAGGUUAAUAACCUUGUCGAUUGACGUUACCCGCAGAAGAAGCACCGGCUAACUCCGUGCCAGCAGCCGCGGUAAUACGGAGGGUGCAAGCGUUAAUCGGAAUUACUGGGCGUAAAGCGCACGCAGGCGGUCUGUCAAGUCGGAUGUGAAAUCCCCGGGCUCAACCUGGGAACUGCAUUCGAAACUGGCAGGCUAGAGUCUUGUAGAGGGGGGUAGAAUUCCAGGUGUAGCGGUGAAAUGCGUAGAGAUCUGGAGGAAUACCGGUGGCGAAGGCGGCCCCCUGGACAAAGACUGACGCUCAGGUGCGAAAGCGUGGGGAGCAAACAGGAUUAGAUACCCUGGUAGUCCACGCCGUAAACGAUGUCGACUUGGAGGUUGUGCCCUUGAGGCGUGGCUUCCGGAGCUAACGCGUUAAGUCGACCGCCUGGGGAGUACGGCCGCAAGGUUAAAACUCAAAUGAAUUGACGGGGGCCCGCACAAGCGGUGGAGCAUGUGGUUUAAUUCGAUGCAACGCGAAGAACCUUACCUACUCUUGACAUCCAGAGAACUUAGCAGAGAUGCUUUUGUGCCUUCGGGAACUCUGAGACAGGUGCUGCAUGGCUGUCGUCAGCUCGUGUUGUGAAAUGUUGGGUUAAGUCCCGCAACGAGCGCAACCCUUAUCCUUUGUUGCCAGCGGUCCGGCCGGGAACUCAAAGGAGACUGCCAGUGAUAAACUGGAGGAAGGUGGGGAUGACGUCAAGUCAUCAUGGCCCUUACGAGUAGGGCUACACACGUGCUACAAUGGCGCAUACAAAGAGAAGCGACCUCGCGAGAGCAAGCGGACCUCAUAAAGUGCGUCGUAGUCCGGAUUGGAGUCUGCAACUCGACUCCAUGAAGUCGGAAUCGCUAGUAAUCGUGGAUCAGAAUGCCACGGUGAAUACGUUCCCGGGCCUUGUACACACCGCCCGUCACACCAUGGGAGUGGGUUGCAAAAGAAGUAGGUAGCUUAACCUUCGGGAGGGCGCUUACCACUUUGUGAUUCAUGACUGGGGUGAAGUCGUAACAAGGUAACCGUAGGGGAACCUGCGGUUGGAUCACCUCCUUACCUUAAAGAA